rnacentral:rRNA from 1 species
AGUGAACGCUGGCGGUAGGCCUAACACAUGCAAGUCGAACGGCAGCACAGUAAGAGCUUGCUCUUACGGGUGGCGAGUGGCGGACGGGUGAGGAAUACAUCGGCAUCUACUUUUUCGUGGGGGAUAACGUAGGGAAACUUACGCUAAUACCGCAUACGACCUACGGGUGAAAGCAGGGGAUCUUCGGACCUUGCGCGAUUGAAUGAGCCGAUGUCGGAUUAGCUAGUUGGCGGGGUAAAGGCCCACCAAGGCAACGAUGCGUAGCUGGUCUGAGAGGAUGAUCAGCCACACUGGAACUGAGACACGGUCCAGACUCCUACGGGAGGCAGCAGUGGGGAAUAUUGGACAAUGGGCGCAAGCCUGAUCCAGCCAUACCGCGUGAGUGAAGAAGGCCUUCGGGUUGUAAAGCCCUUUUGUUGGGAAAGAAAAGCAGCAGGUUAAUACCCCGCUGUUCUGACGGUACCCAAAGAAUAAGCACCGGCUAACUUCGUG